rnacentral:lncRNA from 1 species
UCUGUGAUUAAUUGCAGAACUUUAACUAUAUAUAGUAAAUUUGGCCACAGAUUUAUUUAAACCAAAUCUUAACUGAGAUUGGAAGAUAGAAGAAUUAAGAUCUGCAGGUGGGUAUUGCUAUUUUUUCUUCGUGACACUCUAAAUUUUACAUCAUGUAAAUCUAUUUCUGAAAUUCAGCAUAGUGUCAUUAAUAUAUGAUGCUUUUAGCAACUUCCCUUACAGCACAAGGCAGAAUAGUGCAUUCCCUUGAGGAAAUGAAAGGUUUCUGACUUCCAUGGAAAUGUAUACCAGAAGUUUCAUGAUUCUGCAGGGCCAAAAUAAUAUCUAAAAUUAAUCUAAAUUGGAGGGUUAUGAAAGACAAGCAAAUACUAUAAAAUUAUAAUAAGACAUGCAAAUUAGGUUCAGAAUUUAAUACUUCUGUAAAGUUUGAUUUUAUCAGUUUAAUAUCAGGAGUACCAAUUUGAUUUUCUAAAAGAAAAAAAGAAUGAUUAAGACAAAAUGGGUUUAAAUUCAAUCUUUUCUAACUGUAUAAUUGCGAUUGGAUUUAAUUUAAUUUUUUAAUAUAUCUCUCGUUUUUUUGCUGCUCAUGGACCAAAUUCAGAUUGUCUCUUGUGUUUGCAAAUAAAUUUUUUGGAUUUCAGUUAUAUUUAUUUAUACACAUAGUGUCUCUGGCUGCUUGUCACCAACUACAGCCUUUUCUAACCAAUCCUGCCCAAAUUAACUUCUUCCUCUGAACUCCAUAGCAUCAGAGCAUGAUUGUAUAUUGUGUUAUGGUACCUGUUUCAUUUAUAUUAUACUGGUAUUUGUUCUUGUUUAUUACUUUAAAUUAUAAUAUCUCUGAGAGUAGCAACUAUAUAUUCUUCCUCACCUUAUCCCUAGCACAGCUAUGAUCAAAGUAGACACUAAAUAAUUAUUCUCUUUCUCUUUGGUAUCAUGGAGCUUGCAGAGUGUAUGAUCAAUUGUCCCUCAUCUUUCAAAGGACCUGGAUCUAGUGUUUUGCACUUAGGUAAAAGUAAUUAUGCUUACUUAGGGAAAAUCACUGUAGUUGGGACAGAUUUACAAAGAUAAAUACAGGAAGCAGACUGCAGUGAAUUGGUUAUCCUGCCUGGGUUAUAAGGAAUUGCAGAAAACAGUUGUGGGGAAAUGAUAGAUCUGUAUUGAAAAUCUAAAAUUUAUGUCUCUAAUGCAGACUAACAUAUACAGUUCUCAUUACAUGGGUGAAAGUGAAAAUACUAGAGAAUAUUUUGUAUCCCACAGUGUAUAAAGGAGAGCCAUUGACUUAUAAUGCGACUGUUUGUUGUUGUUGCUAAUACUUAUUGAUUCUCUACAAUGUACUUCAGAGUUUAUUAGAAAAGCACAAAAGAUGCAGUUUUUUUCUUUCAACCCAUAAGAUGGAGCCAAGACAGUCAUCUUAUCCACCUCCCUUCCUGGUUGCUUAGUUUUUUGGUGAUUUAACCUUUAGAAAAAUGACUACAGUGUAUCUAUGCAGCUUAUUGUUAGUACUUUACUUUUCAUUAAUAUUUAAAAUAAGAUUAUUUUAUUGUUAUUGCAAUGCCUUUGUUUUCUGUUUUAGAGACUGUGACAGUUUAGUUGUUAGAAGUAAGUAUAACUUACUAAUGCAAAGACUUGCUAAAGCAUUAGGAUAGAAAUGUGGUAGUUAUUUGAACUAGAUCUGAUAUCAAGAAACAUUUAUUUAGAAGGUUUGAAACAGUAUCACAGGGUCUUCCCUCCCCCUAGUUGGUUUUCAGGGUACCCAUAAAUGUAAUGAAAAUUAUAUGUUACAAAUGGGUUGAGGGGAAUGUAUAUACAUGUGCCAUAUUUUUUUAUUACAUUUCUUCAUUAAGAAGAAUAUUUCAGAAUAAUGAAUAAUUUUUAAGUAGACAUGCAACUAGUUUUGAAAAUACAGAAAAUUAUAAAAACAAUUUAUCAUUUUUCCAAAAUAUCAAGCAUUGGUACAACUUAUAUAUCUCUGUCUCACAAAUGAUAAAACAUGUUUGAAGAAAAGUAAUUUAUGAUCAUAGCAGUUUCUGAUUGAGCAAUGACUUGAAAAACAUACCAAAAAUAGUAAAGGAAGACUAUACAUGUUUACUUCAUUUUUGAUUGUUGUGUUGGGUUCACACAAGGUUUUAGAUGUGGUAGGGGGCACAUAGGAAAAAUCAUCCUAGAUCACCAGGAAGUUGGAUUUAUUGCUUGGUCCUUGAAAAUAACACUGAAUAAAAUGUACUCAUAACAUUCAUGCAUACCUACCUCACUCACUCCUGAUACCAUUCAAAAGACAAAAGUGUGUUGUUUACUAUAGCAGCACUUAAGUUUUUUCACUAAAAUUACUUCUUAUUACUGAAAGAAUUUCUGUGAGUUUUUAAAAGAUUUCCUGAAAGUCCAAAGGAAGUUUCUACCUACAAAUCUUGUAAGUAUUAAAGAGUAGUAGCACUUUUUGGUUGGAAAAUGUUUAGGUUAAGAGCAGUAUGUCAUUCCCCUUUGUUUAGAAGGCAGAAGACAAUAUGGACUGAAAUAAACUUGUUGUUUCCUUUACAUACUG